rnacentral:tRNA from 1 species
AAGGGUAUAGCUCAGUGGUAGAGUGUAUGCUUAGCAUGUAUGAGGUCCUGGGUUCAAUCCCAAGUACCUCCA